UAAAUUCGGAGAUUGUGAAGAUAUUCUUUAAAUUCAAAGGAUAUUCUUCUUUUUUAUCAAACCUAAAACAGUAGCCGACUAACAUCUUUAUAAAUAAUUAUUGAGGAAAGAAACGAAAACUCACAUUGCCUCUAAUAAACUCAUCUUCCAACAAAAGAAAGAGUAGAAAACAAUUGGACUCUGCGAUUACUAAAGCCUUUUGAACGACGAUGCAUAUCCAAGCGAAAUCUACAAUACAUGUGAAAACAAAGGCGAUGAAAUGGUUGUCCGUUUGAUCAAAUUUGCCAAUAUGAGCGUGGGAGAUAUCAUUUUGCACUGCCUUCAACUGUUCUCAAGUCAUUAUUAACCAUCCAUUUCAAAGGUUUGAGGAAUUAAAAACUGUAUGCAAGACCUAAAACGAUAAUGUUGAGCCAGCACGUAAGCAAGAAGCAUUGGACUACAGCAAUGUAAGAUGAGAAUACAAGUGAGAAGGAUAUUAUAAAUGAGAAUCACAAGUGAGAAGGAUAUUAUAAAUGAGAAUCACGAAAGAUAGAAAAAAGGAUAAAAUAUACGCAUAAAUUUGCUGUUUCUGUUGUUUUUUAUGUUGCUCUUGACAAUUUCUUUUGUUUUGUAUUAGUUUUCUUUAUUUUCUCUAUUGCGUUGGUGUUAUUUUAAUUUAGGUAUCAUUUUUAUGUUAAGUAACUUUCGGUUAAGGAGUGAAAGUUCUAUGUUAUUUUGCGCUACGUUUUAUAUGUUUUAACCAAAACUAAGAUAGAAUACUUGGAUGAUUAAAUGAGCCAAUUGAUGGA